rnacentral:rRNA from 1 species
AGAGUUUGAUCCUGGCUCAGGACGAACGCUGGCGGCGUGCUUAACACAUGCAAGUCGAACGGAAAGGCCCUUCGGGGUACUCGAGUGGCGAACGGGUGAGUAACACGUGGGUGAUCUGCCCUGCACUUUGGGAUAAGCCUGGGAAACUGGGUUUAAUACCGAAUAUGACCAUGCACUUCAUGGUGUGUGGUGGAAAGCUUUUGCGGUGUGGGAUGGGCCCGCGGCCUAUCAGCUUUUUGGUGGGGUAAUGGCCUACCAAGGCGACGACGGGUAGCCGGCCUGAGAGGGUGACCGGCCACACUGGGAUUGAGAUACGGCCCAGACUCUUACGGGAGGCAGCAGUGGGGAAUAUUGCACGAUGGGCGCAAGCCUGAUGCAGCGACGCCGCGUGAGGGAUGACGGCCUUCGGGUUGUAAACCUCUUUCAGCACAGACGAAGCGCAAGUGACGGUAUGUGCAGAAGAAGGUCCGGCCAACUACGUGCCAGCAGCCGCGGUAAUACGUAGGGUCCGAGCGUUGUCCGGAAUUACUGGGCGUAAAGAGCUCGUAGGUGGUUUGUCGCGUUGUUCGUGAAAACUCACAGCUUAACUGUGGGCGUGCGGGCGAUACGGGCAGACUUGAGUACUGCAGGGGAGACUGGAAUUCCUGGUGUAGCGGUGGAAUGCGCAGAUAUCAGGAGGAACACCGGUGGCGAAGGCGGGUCUCUGGGCAGUAACUGACGCUGAGGAGCGAAAGCGUGGGGAGCGAACAGGAUUAGAUACCCUGGUAGUCC